UACAGAGGUCCCAAGCGUUGUUCGGAUUCACUGGGCGUAAAGGGUGCGUAGGUGGCCGGGUAAGUCUGAUGUGAAAGCUCCGAGCUCAACUCGGAAAUGGCAUUGGAUACUACCCGGCUUGAGGGUCGGAGGGGAGACUGGAAUUCUCGGUGUAGCAGUGAAAUGCGUAGAUAUCGAGAGGAACACCAGUGGCGAAGGCGAGUCUCUGGACGACACCUGACACUGAGGCACGAAAGCUAGGGGAGCAAACAGGAUUAGAAACCCUUGUAGUCC
rnacentral:rRNA from 1 species